rnacentral:lncRNA from 1 species
GGGGUUGCAAAGAAGAAGAACCAAACCUUCCUUGAUACGGUAAAUAUCAUGUUGGUUAGUUUUGACCUAUCCAACAAUUUGUAGGGGAGGCAGUGUUAACAGCAUAUAAAGAUUGGAGCCUAACCUUAACUUUCUUUGAAUGUGGGGAUGUCUUACAGAAGUAGGGUAGCACCUACUAAGAAAAAAAACUUAGGAUCUAAAAUACUUGAUUAUAUGUUCAUAGGCUAUGCACAAUAUAGUAUAG